UACGAAGGGGCUAGCGUUGUUCGGAAUCACUGGGCGUAAAGGGCGCGUAGGCGGCUUUAUAAGUCGGGGGUGAAAGCCUGUGGCUCAACCACAGAAUUGCCUUCGAUACUGUAGAGCUUGAGACCGGAAGAGGUAAGUGGAACUGCGAGUGUAGAGGUGAAAUUCGUAGAUAUUCGCAAGAACACCAGUGGCGAAGGCGGCUUACUGGUCCGGUUCUGGACGCUGAGGCGCGAAAGCGUGGGGAGCAAACAGG
rnacentral:rRNA from 1 species